AUUGAACGCUGGCGGCAUGAUUUACACAUGCAAGUCGAACGGUAACAGGCCGCAAGGUGCUGACGAGUGGCGAACGGGUGAGUAAUGCAUCGGAACGUGCCCAGUCGUGGGGGAUAACUACUCGAAAGAGUAGCUAAUACCGCAUACGAUCUAUGGAUGAAAGCGGGGGACCGUAAGGCCUCGCGCGAUUGGAGCGGCCGAUGUCAGAUUAGGUAGUUGGUGGGGUAAAGGCUCACCAAGCCAACGAUCUGUAGCUGGUCUGAGAGGACGACCAGCCACACUGGGACUGAGACACGGCCCAGACUCCUACGGGAGGCAGCAGUGGGGAAUUUUGGACAAAGGGCGCAAGCCUGAUCCAGCAAUGCCGCGUGCAGGAAGAAGGCCUUCGGGUUGUAAACUGCUUUUGUACGGAACGAAACGGCUCUGGUUAAUACCCGGAGCUAAUGACGGUACCGUAAGAAUAAGCACCGGCUAACUACGUG
rnacentral:rRNA from 1 species